GCGCGAAAACUUUACAAUGCGGGCAACCGUGAUAAGGGAACCUCGAGUGCCUGUAUAUGCAGGCUGUCUGGGUGUCUAAAACACACCUAAAGAAAGGGCCGGGCAAGACCGGUGCCAGCCGCCGCGGUAAUACCGGCGGCUCGAGUGGUGGCCACUUUUAUUGGGCUUAAAGCGUUCGUAGCUGGGUUAUUAAGUCCCUUGGGAAAUCCGACGGCUUAACCGUCGGGCGUCUAAGGGAUACUGGCAAUCUUGGAACUGGGAGAGGUGAGGGGUACUUCGGGGGUAGGAGUGAAAUCCUGUAAUCCUCGAGGGACCACCUGUGGCGAAGGCGCCUCACCAGAACGGCUUCGACAGUGAGGGACGAAAGCUGGGGGAGCAAACCGGAUUAGAUACCCGGGUAGUCCCAGCCGUAAACGAUGUGCGUUAGGUGUAUCGGUGACCACGAGUCACCGAGGUGCCGAAGGGAAACCGUGAAACGUACCGCCUGGGAAGUACGGUCGCAGGGCUGAAACUUAAAGGAAUUGGCGGGGGAGCACCACAACAGGUGGAGCCUGCGGUUUAAUUGGACUCAACGCCGGAAAUCUCACCGGAUAAGACAGCUGAAUGAUUGUCGGGCUGAAGACUCUACAUGACUAGCU
rnacentral:rRNA from 1 species